rnacentral:lncRNA from 1 species
UUCCAUUCUCCUGUGAGUGGUUUCGAACAAGGAAUGAGUCAGCUAGGAAGAGGAAGAAGGAGAAAAGUGGAGCAGAAGCACAUGGCCUGGAGAAGCUGCAAGUUCUAAGGGGUCUCAUAAGCUGUGGAACAUGGUAGUGUAGCAGUAGAUCUGCCCAAUUUAGGCGCACAGCAUGUAAUCAUAUGAACUGUGUUGUGUUUUCAUUGCCGGGGCAUAUUUGGGAGGAGGUGAAUGUGGAGAGUGAACAAAGAGUAAGAGAGAGAGAAUGAGAAGAGUAUGUGGAGAGUGAGUGAAGAAUGUGAAGAGUGAGUGAAGAGAGAAUGUGAGGAGUAUGUGUGUGUGAGUGAAAGUAGAGUGCAUGUGUGAGAGAGAGAGUGAAAGAAGAACACACAGAGGUGUGUGUGAGCAUGAGAGUUCAAGAAAAGAAAAGUGCAUAGGAGAAAAGCAGAGAGCACAAGAGAAUGCAGAGUAUGUGCAGCCUCAAGCUGCUAGCGAAUGAGCAAGAGAGAAAGCAGAGAAUGAGAGAGAAACUUUAAGCCUUGAAAAAUUGCCUGUCAGCUUGUAUAUUAAAAAAAAGUAGUUUAUGUAUAUUUAUUAUGUGCCUUCCAGACAUCCCUGCUUCCAGUUGAGAACUCUGAUCCUGUAUCGAGGCUGUACCCCGACAUAUAAUGGAAGUCAGCAUAAUUAGAUCAAAGUAGAGAGGUACCUUUAAGGUAUAUGGCAUAAUACUAACACUUCUUUAGAUUUAUUAGCCCUACAUAAGGAGGUUGUAAGUUUAAGAAAUGCAAACCCUGUCCUUUGACACUCCUAGCACUGCAAAUGAUAUUCUGAAAAUGUUACUUGACAUUUUUCCUUCAUGGUCCUACUUUACAUCUCUCUUAUUGGGCAUAGCAGGACUUGGCUUUUCAAUCCUCUUUAUGGCGUGUCUAUUACCUGUUUCCUUGAGAGGAAUCAUUAGAGCCUUUACAGAUGUCAAAGCAGAGUUACAUAAAUUCAAGCUCCAACAUAUUCCCGUGCAAAUGUUG